GAUGAAGAACGCAGCGAAAUGCGAUAAGUAAUGUGAAUUGCAGAAUUCAGUGAAUCAUCGAAUCUUUGAACGCACAUUGCGCCCCCUGGUAUUCCGGGGGGCAUGCCUGUUCGAGCGUCAUUUCACCACUCAAGCCUCGCUUGGUAUUGGGCAACGCGGUCCGCCGCGUGCCUCAAAUCGACCGGCUGGGUCUUCUGUCCCCUAAGCGUUGUGGAAACUAUUCGCUAAAGGGUGUUCGGGAGGCUACGCCGUAAAACAACCCCAUUUCUAAGGUUGACCUCGGAUCAGAUAGGGAUACCCGCUGAACUUAAGCAUAUCAAUAAGCGGAGGA
rnacentral:misc_RNA from 1 species